rnacentral:rRNA from 1 species
UGAACGCUGGCGGCGUGCCUAACACAUGCAAGUCGUACGAGAAAUCUUUCGCUUGCGGAAGAGAGUAAAGUGGCGCACGGGUGAGUAACACGUGGGUAAUCUACCUCCGAGUUCGGAAUAACUUCGCGAAAGCGACGCUAAUACCGGAUAAUAUCCAAGGCACCUUGGUGUUUUUGAUCAAAGGUGGCCUCUACAUGUAAGCUACCGCUUGGGGAUGAGUCCGCGUGCCAUUAGCUUGUUGGUAGGGUAACGGCCUACCAAGGCGACAAUGGCUAGCUGGUCUGAGAGGAUGAUCAGCCACACUGGAACUGAGACACGGUCCAGACUCCUACGGGAGGCAGCAGUGAGGAAUUUUGCGCAAUGGGGGAAACCCUGACGCAGCAACGCCGCGUGAGUGAAGAAGGCCUUCGGGUCGUAAAGCUCUGUCAAGUGGGAAGAACCUGCCCUGUAUUAAUACCACAGGGGACUGACGGUACCACUGAAGGAAGCACCGGCUAACUCC